UAUUGCACAAUGGGGGGAACCCUGAUGCAGCGACGCCGCGUGGGUGAAGGAGUGCUUCGGCAUGUAAGCCCUAUCGGCAGGGAAGAAGCAAGACGGUACCUGACUAAGAAGCCCGGCUAACUACGUCGCC
rnacentral:rRNA from 1 species